AUGACUCCCGACCACGCUGCUGCUGCUAUCGCCUCCCUACCCUACCUCGCCGCCGCCGCCGCCGGCACCUCCGGCUCGCUCCGGCGACCCCGCCCCUGCUGCUCCUUCCCUCUCCGCCGCCCUCCGCCCAUAUACCUCACCUGCGCCGCCUUCCCUUACACCCCUCCUCCCUGCGCCCCCGCCGGCGAUGGACAACACAUGUUCCGUGGCCUUCCCCAGCCACGAUGCUCCAACGUGGAAGCGGUCGGCGACGUGGCAGCAGCAGCAGUGCCCGACGAUUACACAGAGAACGCGCCGUCAAGCAGUGGAUACGCGAAUGGCCAUAUGGCCACCGCUUCAUCGCACCAAGAAGAUCAUCCUUCUGAAGGAAGCGCGGGCAAGGAGAACCACAAGGCUACUACAGCCAACAUCAACCAAAAAAUGGUCAAGAUAUCUGAUAAGUUGAUUGGCGUCUUCAUGGUCGAUAAGCCUACACCGACGGAUUGGAGGAAAUUGCUGGCGUUCAGCAGGGAGUGGGACAACAUAAGGCCGCAUUUUUUCAAGCGCUGCCAGGAGAGAGCAGAUGCGGAAACAAAUCCUGAGAUGAAGCACGGCCUUCUCAGGCUGGCUAGAAAACUGAAAGAGGUAGACGAGGACGUACAAAGGCACAAUGAACUAUUUGAAUUAGUGAAAUCCACACCAUCUGGCAAAAUUGGUGAUGUUGUUGCUAAGCGCCGUAAAGAUUUCACGGUGGAGUUUUUCAACCACCUUUAUUAUGUCGCAGAGUCGUAUAAGGAUGAGCCUGCUAAGCAAAAAGAGUUGGCAACACUUGGAAAUGAUUGUGUGGAUGCUCUGCAAGCUCAUGAUGACAUGUCUGGCAGUCUUCAAGCGCUGAAUGUUGCGGAACUAAAGCUAAAGGACAUACUCAAUUCACCUUCAGUGGACGCUGCAUGCCGAAAGAUCGAUGACUUGGCCGAGAAGAAGGAACUAGACUCUGCGUUGGUGUUGAUGCUUUCAAAAGCUUGGUCAGCUGCAAAGGGCACCGACAUCACAAAAUCGGACGCAAAAGACAUAAUGUUCCAUCUAUACAUGACUGCUGUGGCCAAUCUCCAGAGGCAAAUGCCAAAGGACAUCAGAAUACUGAAGCAUCUUAUAAUGAUUGAGGAUCCAGCAGAACGUCUGAGUGCGUUGAAUGACGCUUUUACUCCUGGUCCUGAACUUCAAGGCGAGAAUGUCGAUACCUUAUUCACGAGUCCUGAGGUGUUGCACACUUGGGCAAGCGCUAUAAUCGACGCAUAUUAUAGCAGCAGGGAGGGCACUCUCCUUGGGCAGGCAAGGGACUUGAUGAACCCUAAAAUUAUCAAGAGGGUUGAAGAGCUUGUGAAGACGAUCAAGGAUCAAUACCUCUGA
rnacentral:rRNA from 1 species